rnacentral:rRNA from 1 species
AGGGAAUCUUCCGCAAUGGAUGAAAGUCUGACGGAGCAACGCCGCGUGAGUGAUGAAGGUUUUCGGAUCGUAAAGCUCUGUUGCCUGGGAAGAACGUCCUGUAGAGUAACUGCUACAGGAGUGACGGUACCUGAGAAGAAAGCCCCGGCUAACUACGUGCCAGCAGCCGCGGUAAUACGUAGGGGGCAAGCGUUGUCCGGAAUUAUUGGGCGUAAAGCGCGCGCAGGCGGCUGUUUAAGUCUGGUGUUUAAUCCUGGGGCUCAACCCCGGGUCGCACUGGAAACUGGAUGGCUUGAGUGCAGAAGAGGAGAGUGGAAUUCCACGUGUAGCGGUGAAAUGCGUAGAGAUGUGGAGGAACACCAGUGGCGAAGGCGACUCUCUGGGCUGUAACUGACGCUGAGGCGCGAAAGCGUGGGGAGCAAAC